GGUCCGAGGGGCUGAAUUUCGGUAAAUUUGAUAGCAAUUGAUUUGAAUUUUGCUCAGAUGGGUUGUGAAUUUAUAUUCAGCAAGUGUCACAAACAUGGAAAGGCAAGUUUACAAAGGACAGGAGACUUAGAAAGGCUUCAAUUGACGUAGCCGAAGAGAGGCGAGAAGCCGAAGAUAGACCGACUCCAAACGAUGCCCAGUGCAAUCAUGCUUCUGGUGCGGAGAUGUCAGGAUGGAGUCCGAGGAAUCAAAGAAGGCAGAGGACCUGCGUAUGAAGGAACCAGCCCUGCGGAUGAAGUUCUGAGGUGCAUACAGAGGGAUCCCACUGAAAGACCAGGUGCAAUGCUGCAUUGAUAAGAUCCAGAUUCAAGAGCAUGGAUGCUACCAAAUCCUGUGAUUUGAAGUUACCAGUGUCACUGCUGCUACAAAUGACAUCAGCAACACUUCCUUUGGUGAAAGUUUAGAGGAGCAAACAGUUGAUGCUCUGUGUAGUCAAGCAGUGGAGUUUUGCCACAAUCAUGAAGCUGAUUAAGGUGUCAAUUUUUUGCUCUGGCUUCUGGGACACCUUGGAUCUACAUUGCAACCUAUGCUAGUGUUCACAAUUUCGUGUCAUAGUAUCACUGAUGCAAAGUGUGUUGCAUCAUACGCAAAUGAGAGCUAACAAAUUGUCAGAUAUUUUCUAGUGAUGAGAACUGAAUGCCUUAAGCAAUUGUUGAAGGUGAUAAGUGGUGAAUGGUAGGGCUCAGCCACUCAGCUCCUUCCUUCAAAAGCUAUCAAUCAGCUCUAGAAGAGUAGUCAUAGCAAUGUUUCAUAUGUGAAGGCUACUUGCCUGAACAGAACAUUGUGGAUUUGUUAAUUAAGUACCUCUUUAUGACAAGUUUGUGCCCAUUACAAGCCAAGCUUAGUUUACUUAGUUUGUUGUAAGUUUUCCAGGCAGCCUUCACACUUGUGUCGCUGAAUAUUAAACUUUAACUGAUAGACCGACGAGAUAUUGUCCCUCAUCAGAUUUUAAUCAGUCAGUCGUGUUGGUAGAAGGUACAUCUGUCUUAAAAGUACCGCGGAAAGUGACGGUGGAUCCAUCAAGCCUGACCGAGG